CUGAGAAUGACUGACUCGCCUCCCUUCCCAAAAAGUUGAGGAAAAAGCUCUCUGUGACUACAAACAUUUCCAAGAGACGUGCUGCUGUUUUUUCCUCUUGGUCACCGCAGCUCAAAGAACAAGAAGGGAGGUAUUCCGUUUGUCUGGAAGUAAGGCCUGCCACGCUGGGGAAAACCUUCAAGUCUCACUUGAAAAACCACUAAAAGUCACACAACACAUCAGGAAAAGGGAAUAAACAAAAAAGCAACCCAAGUCAUUUUAUCCAUGGUCCCCCUAAACUGGCUAUUACACCUCUGACUCGGGUUCUCUCACCGCUCACCCCCAGGGCUGGGGCUGCUCCCCACCCUUCCUGGCUGAUGGGUGGUCUCGUGGCUGCCCCCCUGGUAAGGACACCUGAGAGCAGGGUGCUGCAGGUGGGAACGCAGGAGAAGGCCCCUGACAACUUGGGGGCGGUGGGGAAAUGGGUCCAACAACCCACAGAAGGUGAGAGUUUGGCACAUCCAGGUCUCCCCUAAGUGGCGAUGCUUCUUCCAAAAUAUGGGUGAUUUUUUUCGAAUGCUCAGAAACACACACAUUGUUGCUGGUGUACCUGGGGGUGGAAUAACGCAGCUUGCUGGCAUAUGGUUCUCUACCUUCUUCUGCUCUAGCUACACUUCUAAUCAGGCCACCUUGGUAACACCCAGGAAUUGUGAUCUCCUCCGGCCUGCUGCAUACACAACCUUUCCUUGUUUCGGCACAAAGGAGCACGUUCUGGCUGGAUCUCCAUCAUGGGAGAGUCUCUGGCUUAAGCUAAGCACCCUGCUCUUUUCCAUGCAUCUCACAGUUUUUAGGCUAGUGGGGUGUUUGGAGCAGGGACUGCAGGAGGAAUGGAGGAUGUUACAAGCAAGCAGCUUGUAGCAGGUGGAUAUUCACUCUUGGGUGGGUCUGCUCCUCAAGAAAAAAGACUGCUCAAGGAUGGGUGGCGUUCACAAGUAGCUUCCUUUGCCUUUCUGGAUCUGUUUGCUGUGUUUGAUUACUUCUAAUAAAUUAUUUUUCUUCCACAACUCUGUUCAACCACUUUUUUAGCCCAUCCUAACUGUUGGCACAUACCAUCUCCUGGGACAAGGAGUCCAAGCACCUUACUACCCACUGUAGCACCUCCAUUUGACCUCAACCUGCCAUGAACAUCACCAGCUGCCUGAGAUCGGGACAUAUUGCCUACUGUUGUGACCCCAACAAAUGGGAGGCCAGGUGUUAAAAACAAUCAAGAAGCCAAACUGCAAAGCUUUAAACUUCCCCUGCACUCCGGAGUUCAAUCUGGUGGUUAGGAGAAAGCACACACCUCAAUUCAAACCUCCAAGAACUGGACUGAGCUUUGAGUUAAAGAUCGUAAGCUUGAUUAGCUCUUGGUGAGCGUGCGAGGGUUUGGGGGGCACGUGGAGGGGUUAAGUGUGAAGGUCAGCGUUAGAGACAAUAUUAAAUAAAACAUAGGAGCCAAAUGACUUGCAGUGCAGCGGCAGCAACAUAUCCCAGGCAGGAGCAACGGUGAACAUGGAGGUCAAGUACCAUAGCAGGGAGUUUUCAUUUCCCCAAAACAAACUGCUCUUUUGUGUCUCAGCUUCAAAGAAGAUGUCACUAGAUUGCGAGAGCUCUUCACCUGCCACAUCCCUCUCAUUACUGAAAUGAAAUAAAUGGCAACAGCAUGAAAACAGCAACUCAAGCAAGAGAAAGACAGGUCGACAGUGAGGAAAAGGGAGGGGGGACAAGGUGCGAGCGGAGGGCUUGGCAGGGUGGAGAAUUAGGGCAAUUACCAUUUCUGAGAAAAUGCCAGAAAUACAA